rnacentral:rRNA from 1 species
AUGAACGCUAGCGGGAGGCUUAACACAUGCAAGUCGAGGGGUAUAAAGAGCUUGCUUUUUAGAGACCGGCGAACGGGUGCGUAACGCGUAUGCAACCUGCCCUUAUCAAGAGGAUAGCCCAUGGAAACGUGGAGUAAUACUCUAUAAUAUACGAGAGAGCAUUUGAUUGUAUUGAAAGAUUUAUCGGAUAAGGAUGGGCAUGCGUCAGAUUAGCUAGUUGGUGAGGUAACGGCUCACCAAGGCUACGAUCUGUAGGGGGCCUGAGAGGGUGAACCCCCACACUGGUACUGAGACACGGACCAGACUCCUACGGGAGGCAGCAGUGAGGAAUAUUGGACAAUGGGCGAGAGCCUGAUCCAGCCAUCCCGCGUGAAGGAAGACGGCCCUACGGGUUGUAAACUUCUUUUAUACAGGAAGAAACCUAUUUACGUGUAAGUAGCUGACGGUACUGUAUGAAUAAGCACCGGCUAACUCCGU